AUUGAACGCUGGCGGCAUGCCUUACACAUGCAAGUCGAACGGCAGCACGGGAGCAAUCCUGGUGGCGAGUGGCGAACGGGUGAGUAAAGUAUCGGAACGUGCCCAGUCGUGGGGGAUAACGUAGCGAAAGUUACGCUAAUACCGAAUACGAUCUAUGGAUGAAAGCGGGGGACCGCAAGACCUCGCGCGAUUGGAGCGGCCGAAAUCAGAUUAGGUAGUUGGAGGGGUAAAGGCUCACCAAGCCGACGAACUGUAGCUGGUCUGAGAGGACGACCAGCCACACUGGGACUGAGACACGGCCCAGACUCCUACGGGAGGCAGCAGGGGGGAAUUUUGGACAAUGGGCGAAAGCCUGAUCCAGCCAUGCCGCGUGCAGGAUGAAGGCCUUCGGGUUGUAAACUGCUUUUGUACGGAACGAAAAGGUUUGGCCUAAUAAGCUGAGCUCAUGACGGUACCGUAAGAAUAAGCACCGGCUAACUACGUGCCAGCCGCCGCAGUAA
rnacentral:rRNA from 1 species